UACGUAGGGGGCUAGCGUUGUCCGGAAUCAUUGGGCGUAAAGAGCGUGUAGGCGGCCCGGUAAGUCCGCUGUGAAAGUCGGGGGCUCAACCCUCGGAUGCCGGUGGAUACUGUCGGGCUCGAGUACGGAAGAGGCGAGUGGAAUUCCUGGUGGAGCGGUGAAAUGCAUUGAGAUCGGAAAGAACACCAACGGCGAAAGCACUCUGCUGGGCCGACACUGACACUGAGAGACGAAAGCUAGGGGAGCAAAUGGG
rnacentral:rRNA from 1 species